CCUACGGGAGGCAGCAGUGGGGAAUAUUGGACAAUGGGGGCAACCCUGAUCCAGCAAUGCCGCGUGAGUGAUGAAGGCCUUAGGGUUGUAAAGCUCUUUCGCCCGAGACGAUGAUGACGGUAUCGGGAGAAGAAGCCCCGGCUAAUUCCGUGCCAGCAGCCGCGGU
rnacentral:rRNA from 1 species